rnacentral:lncRNA from 1 species
GAGUACUGACGACGCCAUCUUCGGAGAUGAAGCGCUGAGAGGGAGAGGUUGGUGAGAGAUCAGCGAGUUCAGCGCUAAAAGAACCCGAGUUGGUGAUGUUGGGGUUUCCGUAAGGCGAGUCACCGCGUUCAAGUAGCAACACGGAGGCGUUUUGGGAGAGCGAGGCAGCUAACGGGCAGCCGGCGGUGCCACCUCCGAUGACGAUGUAGUCGUAGUAGGACACUGGUUUUGCUGCAGUUGCGUUGCGCAUGAAACUGUAGUUCGGAGCUGCUGUGUACACAAAAAGUGACGUAUAAAAUAUGGGGAUCAUAGAGAGGGUCCAGCUAUGUAACAUACCACAUUCUUUUAUAUUUUCCUAAUCCAUCAUUAUAUUUAACUUAAAACAAGUGCAAUGGCUAAGAUGUUUCUGUUGGGUUAUUAACAUUAUACUCCCCAAUAUUUGCUACAAAAUUAUAAAAGGAACAAAGCUUAAAAUAUUGACACAUAAAUCCACAAAUUUACAAUUUAUUAUUCAAUAAUAUUAAAACAUUUUAAUUAUAUUUAAAAUAUAAUUAAAUAAUGUAUUACUUAAUUAUAUUAUAACAUUUAAUAAGUAAAAAUUGAUUAUUAUUUAACAACUUAAUAUAACUAAUAAUAAAUACUUAAAUAAUAUUUAAAAUAAAAAUAUAAUAUAAUAUUACGUUAUUUAAUUAUAUUAUAAUAUUAGUAUAUAAAAAUUAAUUAUUUUUUAAAUAUUUAAUAAAAAAUAAUAAAUACUUAAAUAUUAAUAAAUUGAAUAAUAUUAAUUUAAAAUUAAUAAUAAUCUAAAUAAUGAUAUAAAAUAUUAUUACUUAUACUAUAGUUAAUAUUGCACCAAACAUGAUAUUGUAUUACAGUUUAAUACACGUUAAUAACACACACCGUAAUACAAUGCAGCUAAUGUAAUACAAUAUAUUGUGUCAAAUGACCUUGUUAAUUUCACCGAUAAAUUAAUUUAUUCUUAUAUAUGAAUUAAUAUUUUUAAAUUAAUAGUCUUUCUUAUUAAUUAAUUAAUUUAAUAUAUAAUAAAACCAUGUAUUAAAUACAAACCAUAUUUUAUGAUAAAUAUGAGUAUGAAAUUGAUCUUUUGUUCUUAAUUUGUAGUUAAUAUUUGUUUCAUAAUCUUAUUCAAUUUGCAGUAAAUAAUUUCAAUAUGUAAUAAAAAUAUAUUAAUUCACCAAUUAAUAAUUUUUUUUAUCGUUUAAUAAGAAGGUAUCAAAAAGUUUAGAAGCUUUUAAUAAGAAUUUGGAGGCAAAGCCAUUUUAUGCUCCAUACUUAUUUGAAAACGUUUUUCACAUCUCAUGUUUGAUAAAUUUGAGUUAGUAAUAGAAUUUAGUUGCUAAUUGCUAGAGAUGUGGAACUGAAACUAGUGGGCAUGUAAAGAAUCCAAUAAGUUUUUUUAUAUCAUUUUAAUUAAUUUAUUUAGUAUGAAUAAAAAAUUAUUUUUAUCAAGAAUAUAUUUGACUUAGGUAAGUGUAUGGAGUAGAUUUUCUUUUUAAAACUUUAAAGAUGGGUGUGUGAAUUAAUAAUUAAAAAAUAUCCUCACCUUUUGAUUUAAGUUUAAAAAAUCAAAAUAAGUAGGACUAAUGAGUCAAAAUAUAGUAUUAUCUGAUUAUUUUCUAAUUUUAGAAUAAAACGGUGAUUGCAGUGUAAUUAACCCAAAAGGACAAAAAAAGGUGGUAUGUUAACCACGGUGGUAACAUAGUAGGAUCCUAGAUGAUAUUAUUACUUUUUUCAAACAUGCAUGUGACAAAGUCAUGUGUGCACUUAUAUUAGGACGAUAAAAUUAACUCUAAAAAUCAAAGUAAAAUUGCCAAUUAAAUUAAUUUAUUACCUUUUUGACAUGCACAAAAGUCGUGAAAGAAGAGAAAUGUAGCAAGAGUAGCAACAAAUGACAAUCUCAGGCACCCAAGAUCCAUGAUUUGAUGAAAUAACAGCUCUCGGUGAGACCUUUUGAUCAAUUAAUUAAUUACACACACACACACAUAUAUAUAUAGGGGGAUUACUGUUGUCGAAUAAGAAGGCAACAAGCUUUGAUACGGUGACGACAAAUUCUGCAUGCACAACGAUUUCUUGCUCACUUUGUCGGGUAAAUGGAAGCUAAAUUUCCUCAGAAGCGCACACAAGGAAUCAGAGAAAAUGCGAUGCCGCCAAGCCGGAGUCCGCGAAUUUUACACAAGCAACAUUGGAAUGAGCUACUAUUUAAUUUGCACAGAAUUGAGAGGUUGGAGAGAUAGAACUGAGUUUCAAUGAACAAAUGAAACUGAUGAAGCUGUAUUUAUUACUUCAGCUGAAUAUCAAGGUGCCUAUUUGUACAUGAAAUGAGACUAUGAGUGAGAGAAGCAGUCGAUACUUGUAAGUUGCGUGUGAGAGGGCUGAACCUUACAGAUGCUGUAAGGUAGCCCUCUCCUUUCACUAAGGCUACACCAACCAACUGAUACAACUCAUCACUAUUACCAAUUAAUUACGCUUGAUAAUAUCUUCUAAUGCCUUGAUUUUUGGUGCAUAUUUUUGGAAUUAAUGGAGAUUAUGAAAUUACGCCGACUGGUUGUACAAAAUUGUCUUGAUUUCUGGCCAUUAGAUUUUAUUGAUUAAUGAUUUUAGCAAACGGGAUACUUUUUAAUAAAACUCUCUUAUCAAUACUAUGAAGUAAUCUGAGUGUUUUAACUUGUUUUGAGCGUAAGUAUAUAAAUUGUGCCACUACAAAAUUGAUUUAGGAAUUUUUAAUAAAUAUUUCAAUUGUAAACAUCUGUAUGUAUGUCUGUAAUAUAAUAUUAGAAAAACCGAUAUAUGCAGACUUUGACAUCACAAAGUUAAUUAAGUUCUUAUAUAUAUAUAUAUAUAUGAUGGUAAACAUCAAUAUAUUUGUAAUGAAAAAUGAAAUAUAGGGGAAAAAUAAAAUUAAAAAUAUAAAAAGGUAUGGGGAAGAUAAGCUUAGGUUAAUGCGUGGGGUAGGGGGGAUCGCAAGUUCAGCAUCAGUUGGAUGGAAUCUAAAUAAAUGAACUUCCCGGAAAUUUCAAGCAAUGCAUUGAUUACAAGCCACCAAUGUCUGUGGCUAAGAGUGUCACAAGAGCAUCUCCUCCUCCACGGCUAAAGAUCCUCUCCUUAUCGAAAUUUUUAUAAGUUUUUAAAGAUUUUAUGUUAUGUAUUUUUAAGUGAUAGUGUAUAGAUAGAAUUUAAUUUUUUUAUUUUUUUAUUUAUUAACUACCAAUUACAUAUAUAUAUUUUUACUUAGGAGAAGAUCAGAUUAUGAGAGAAUCUUGAUCCCUCCUCCACAGCCUGUGCUUUCGGUACAUUAUACACGAUGAAAGCAGAACACGUUAAUUUCACUGCUUGAUUAUGUGGUGCUUUUCCAUUUUUGAUUUCUUUGUUUAAUGUGCAGGUCUCGGUGCAUGUGCAAGAGAUCGUUAAAGAAUAUAUUUACUUCUAAAUGUAUAAUGUUGAAAGGAUUAGUAGUACAUAUAUAUAUCUUAAGAAAAAGAAAUUAAGAACAUGUUAUUUUGCGUGUCUAGAUCUUCGCUGGUGUAAACAAAUAAAAGUUUCAUAUAAUUAACCAAAAAUGGGUCGAUAAAAGUGACAUUGGCAUGACGAGAAGCUUUUGAUUAGUGUCAACGCACUCUCCACCAGAAAUGGCUGCAAAAGUGACAAUCAAUAUCAAUAUUACUGUAAGAUUACAUGUAUCAUCUUUUGCGGCGACUUACGUGCCCAUUCUGAAAUGACACACCUCUGGAACAGCAUAUAAUUAUUUACUCGUUCUCUUUGAGGAUGAGAUGGUCUUGUCGUUAUCAAAAUUAUGAUUGGUCAAUUUGAAAGUAAGAGUGUGUGAUAAAAUUCUUUGAAGACACUGUUAAGUCUUUUAUAUACUAGAAAGCACAUAGAUACGUCAUACACUGUAUAAUGUUGUUCGGUACUCAUAAAUUUUCAUUCAUGACCCUUAAAAUAUUGAUGAUGUAUUUAUUAUAUGAAUUUACAAUCUAAAAAUUUAGCGUGUCAACAAUAGUAAAAUUUUGGGCAUAUAACCAGAUUUUUUAGGAUGUAGUGAGGGCACUGCACCAAAGUUAGGAUACCAUAUUUCUCAAUUAAAGAUUUUAUUUUUUAAAAAAAAAAACUUGAGUAACAUAAAACUUUGCAUUUUCCGAAAAUAAAACCACCUUCAAACUCACUUUCCAUAAAUGCAGUUUAUUAACUUUUUUUUAUUUAUUACAAAUUCAAUAAAACUCACAAAAUUCAAAUAUUCCCUAUUAUUAUUAUUUUUUAAAAAAAGUUCAAAUCAACGAAAAAAAAAUCAAAUUAACAUAUAUAUGAUGAUGAUUGACAUUACUUUGAAUCGUUACUUGCAAGUCUCUCACUCAGAAUCCUGACUCCCAUGUACCUGCAACACAUCACAACACAACAAAUUAAUUAAACCUCACAUAAACUUACCAAAAUCUUGCUUACGUAUUUGCUUGUGGUCAGGUUAACGUACCUUCCAAGCAUCAUGACCGUUGCUUGCGGAUUAGUCCCCGGGGAGUAAUAAAACGUGGAUCCGUCGAUGACCCUCAAUGCAUCGACCCCAAGAACCUUAUAAUCAUGAUCAACAACCUUACCAACCUGGCAACCUCCAUGAUAAUGCCAUAUGGUCAUCACUGUGUCCCUGCAAAAUUGUUCCAGUGAUGUUGAUGAAUUGCUGUGUCUGGGCAGCAAAUUGACCGGGGCACUGGCAGUCAUGUUUACCAGUGUUGGCACUGACAUACUCUCGUAUUUAAACUUAGAAAAAGAUUUUGAUUCAAUUAUUUUCUCUAUGGUUGAAAUGCCCUGUACACAUCUUUGUAAGUCUUCAGGUUCCUUGAAGUAAUUGAACGUGACGGACGGGUUAUCGUUCGGGUUUCGGGUUCGGAGCUCCAAAUGGCCCGUGGAUACUGGGCCCAUAACCUUUUCGAGAAUGAAUCCGCCUCUGAAAGCUGGAUCAUCAAGUGCUUUCAUGUUUUCAAUUGCUUCGGCUAUAGCCUCUGGGGUCCUUUGUUUGGGAGGCACUUUAGACAGCUGUCCAAUCUGCAUGUGCGAACAAAUAUUUUUGGAAAAUCAGCGUAAUGUACCAUUUUACCCUCAAUCAUGCAGAUGUUGAGGGUUCUUGAGGAAGCAGAUGAGGGCCAUUUAUAGUUAACACACUGGACUUCAAAUGAAAUUACGUAAAGGCCUGUUUACAAACGAAUUACUUUGCUACUAGGCUAGCCCAAAAGGGGAUGAAUACUUGUACCUUGGGAGAGAACAUGCCAUAGUCUCUUGGCGAUGGCGACCCACCGGCGAAGUUUUCGCCACUUGCGGCUUCUAUGUAGCUUCCAAACUGGGUAAUUCCGACGACCUGGAUGAGGGAAACCUCCACCGGAACAGGGGACGGUACAAAAAUGGCAUUCAUGGGAUUAUCAGACAUCCCCUGACCAACCAAGGGCUGGUCCAACACAACCGUGAUGUUAUGGGCCUUGAGGUGGUCUGCUGGGCCCACUCCGCUCAACAUUAAAAGUUGUGGGCUUCCCAGUGCUCCAGCUGACACGAUGAUCUCAUUCUUAGGCCCAUUCUUGAGAUAUGCUCUGUGUUUGGCCCCGGUUGCAUCUCUGAAGACAACUCCAUGGGCCUGUGGCCUUGCCUUUCCUGUUUAAAACUUCAAUGUCAAUCAAUCAUCAAGAUUGAUAGUAAUAGCCAACCAUUGGUCAAUCUCUUACGGGUCACAUUCACAUACCUUUAAUUCUGAACAGAACCUUGUGCACGGUGGCAUGCAAGAGCAAAGUGAGGCCACUGGGAUUAGCAUACUCCAGCAAAUCAGCAGCUGUGUGUCUUUGGCCAUUUUGAUCAAAUAUUGUCCCACCAAUCUUCGUGCCAUACAAAUGAUCGUAAGUGAAGCCAUUGUACGGCAACACCCCUACCUCUACCAGCCCAUCUCUGACGGCCGACUGCCACUGCCGCAUCGGCGGCUCGAAUGCCACCACCUUCUCCACCCACUGGUACGAUUCAUUCACCAAACGUUCAUCCCACCCCGUUUCUCUAAUUUACCAAAAGUAAAUAAAAUCAGAAAAAAAAAGUUCAGUGCAGUAAAAUUAGAGUUUAAAUUGAAGUUUAGCUCGUCUGUAAUAAUUUUAUACUUGAACCCCCUUGUAUCUUAAAUUACUAAAUAAUGGCCCUCUAAAGGUUGGCGUUUCUACAUUGCAUCCCUUGCCGAAUGGUAUUCACAAGCAUUACCACCAGUCAGUUACCUGACAUAAUAAGGCGCAGCGCGUGUGUAGAAGCCGGCAUUGAGGCAACUGCCACCUCCCAAAACGCGGGCACGGGAAUUGAUGACGCCAUCUUCGGAGAUGAAGCGCUGCGAGGGAGAGGUUGAGGAGAGAUCAGAGAGUGCAGCGCCAAAAGAACCCAAGUUGGUGAUGUUGGGGUUUCCGUAAGGCGAGCCACCGCGUUCAAGUAGCAACACGGAGGCGUUUU